GCAAUUCAUAUUAUUCAUGUGAGAGAUUGCAAAUUGGCAGAGAACUCACAGAGUUAUGAUGUCAGAGCUGGAAGAGAACUUAGAAAUCAUUCUAGAAAUCUCCUCAACCUAUUCUCAAAGAAACCAGGAAGCAGAGAGGCUCUAUGUGACUCACUUAAGGGAAAGAUGUCCUAAAAGUGACUUCAGACUUUAUAACUAAUGUACGACACCUACCAGCUCUCCAUUUGUCUAACAAGAUUUACCAGAACUUAAGAUCUGAUUCUUAAACAUUUACCAACACAUCCUGAUUGUAUUCUAUGGCAUCUGAUGGACAGAAGUCAUAGGAUAUCCAUCUCCAAAGAACUGAAACUAAGAAUUUUGCAAAAGGCAACAGAAAGUUAAUGGCAGAUGUGAAUAGGCAACAGUGGAUUAUAAAC